GUGGCUAUAGCUCAGCUGGUAGAGCAUCGCGUUGUGGUCGCGAGGGUCGCGGGUUCAAGUCCCGUUAGCCACC
rnacentral:tRNA from 1 species